CAUAGAAAACAUGAAACAACUGUGCAUACUACAAUUACCAAAGCCUGCCGCUUAUCUAACCUUUCAGACGGCCACAUACACACGCUGUAAAUGUGCCUCUGUUUGGUCAAAAGAUGAAGACAAUAUGGGUCUCAUAUACGGUACAAAUAUAACUCAAAGGACUGAAACCCCGUCAAAGACUUGUUUAACACUGAAUCAAAGUUGUGCUAUCUGGGUCUGAGAAGACAGCCAGCGAGGAGAAUCCAACAGAUUCGUGAGGUACAUUGAGUUGAAUCCAAGUUUGCGGUUUCUUUUUAUUCUUUCAUUUCUUUUCAUUUUUUUGAAACAUAAUUCCUUAUUUGAAGGGAAUCAUUGUUCUCUUUUAACUGACUCUGUGUGUUGAGGGAUGAUGAAGUAUUGCAGUCUAGCUCCAUGUUAACACUGGAUGAAAUGAAGUAUAUGAGUCUGGCAAGCGUUCACAGCUUAAACUAUGGCUUAUGAUGACAGGAGAUAAAGGACACAUUGGAUAGUUUUUAACGAUAAAAGAUUUUAAAAGGGAUGAAAGCUGAUUAUUUUUAUUGUAUAUCUUAGAGAAAUGUUACUUUUAAACAAAAGCUGACGAUGAAGGGGAAUAUUUUGACUACAGAUUACAACCAUCUGUUCUUUUGAAAGUGACUUUUUAUGCCAAGUUCUGUGUACACACACACACAGACACACACACUCUUCAUAUAACACACACACACUUCAUAUAACACACACACCUUUGAUUUUGAUGAAGACUACAUUAACUUGACAUAUGCAUAUAAACAGCUGUGAUUCUCUUCCUUCAAUUAAGGUUUAACAAGCGAAUGAGCAAAAAAAAGGUUAGAUCUUAUAUGAAUAUAUAAUAUGUUACUUAUAUGUUCUUUUACUCUGAUCACAUUGUGGAAAUUUGCUGCAAUGGAAGAACUUCUAUUUUUUGACGUAUAAAUUAUUGGAAUGUGAUGAUAAACAUUUUAUUUUAUUUUACUUGACGAAUAUGAUAUGAAAGAAAGUUGUACAGUAUAUUCAUCAUAUUUAUGCUAGAGAUGUUAAAAAGGAGAGGACCACACAUACUGCUAUGAAUUUUGCUUUAAAUAGCUACAGCUACAUUUAGUGCAUGUAGCUGCUUCUUCUCCCUUAAAUAGCUACAGAUCUCAGUUUGAUACCCAGGCGGCCCUCCACUGACCUCAUAUUUCCCAGGAAGCCAGUAAACAUUGGCUUUGUCAUUACAUUUUCCUGUACUGCGUGUAACUGGUGUGUAAACAGUCUCUAAAUGGUCUUUGCGUCAUUAAAGUGCAACAGUAACAUUUCAAGUUUUGUGCAAAUGUGACUUUACAUCAGUGGAAUGUGCACCAAAUAAUUAUACAGUUUGGCAUGUGUCAGUCUCAGU